UGGAACAUGCAGGUAAGGGCUGUUUCCCCAACCCUUAACUGUCUGUUUAAAAC
rnacentral:pre_miRNA from 1 species